GACGAACGCUGGCGGCGUGCUUAACACAUGCAAGUCGAACGGAAAGGCCCUGCUUUUGUGGGGUGCUCGAGUGGCGAACGGGUGAGUAACACGUGAGUAACCUGCCCUUGACUUUGGGAUAACUUCAGGAAACUGGGGCUAAUACCGGAUAGGAGCUCCUGCUGCAUGGUGGGGGUUGGAAAGUUUCGGCGGUUGGGGAUGGACUCGCGGCUUAUCAGCUUGUUGGUGGGGUAGUGGCUUACCAAGGCUUUGACGGGUAGCCGGCCUGAGAGGGUGACCGGCCAAAUUGGGAAUGGGAAGCGGCCCAGAGCCCAACGGGGGGAAGGGGGGGGGAAAAUUGCAAAAGGGGGGGAGGCCUGAUGGAGCAACGCCGGGGGGGGGAAGACGGCCUUCGGGGUGGAAAACGUUUUCGCGUGGGAGGAAGGGGGGGGGAGGGUAAGGGGAAAAGAAGCACGGGCAAAAUACGG
rnacentral:rRNA from 1 species